GUGAGGAAUAUUGGUCAAUGGACGAGAGUCUGAACCAGCCAAGUAGCGUGAAGGAUGACUGCCCUAUGGGUUGUAAACUUCUUUUAUAAGGGAAUAAAGUGAGGGACGUGUCCCUUUUUGUAUGUACCUUAUGAAUAAGGAUCGGCUAACUCCGUGCCAGCAGCCGCGGUAAUACGGAGGAUCCAAGCGUUAUCCGGAUUUAUUGGGUUUAAAGGGAGCGUAGGUUGACAUAUAAGUCAGCUGUGAAAGUUUACGGCUCAACCGUGAAAUUGCAGUUGAUACUGUAUGUAUUGAGUGUACAAGAGGUGGGCGGAAUUCGUGGUGUAGCGGUGAAAUGCUUAGAUAUCACGAAGAACUCCAAUUGCGAAGGCAGCUCACUGGGGUACAACUGACACUGAGGCUCGAAAGUGUGGGUAUCAAACAGGAUUAGAAACCCGGGUAGUCC
rnacentral:rRNA from 1 species